rnacentral:rRNA from 1 species
UACGUAGGGUGCAGGCGUUAAUCGGAAUCACUGGGCGUAAAGCGCGCGUAGGCGGGUCGUUAAGUCGGGGGUGAAAUCCUGGAGCUCAACUCCAGAACUGCCUUUGAUACUGGCGAUCUUGAGUCCGGGAGAGGUGAGUGGAACUCCGAGUGUAGAGGUGAAAUUCGUAGAUAUUCGGAAGAACACCAGUGGUGAAGGCGGCUCACUGGCCCGGUACUGACGCUGAGGUGCGAAAGCGUGGGGAGCAAACGGG